GGAAGGUUUGGGUCUUCGGGCCGACGGCGUGACGCAGGGACCAGGCGGUGGGCUUGAGGUCCAGAGCCUCGCAGAUCUUGAUCCUCAGCUGUCCAUUGAAGACCACCAUGGCGCCGACGUGAGCCGUUACCGUCGAGGCGUUGAAGAGCUCCCCGGGUGAAGCGGGGGUCCCUGGGUGUUGCAUGGCACCGAGUAGGUGGGAGGGAGGCUCCAGAUACCUGCUGGCAGAGGCUCCUCAGAGAUGUUCGAGCCCGGACCGCUACGACCAGACGGCGGCUGGCGUGUGCCGCAGCAGGGGCGGGGUGGAAAAGCAGCGAGUUCGGGGGAGGGGGGCGGAGAUGUAAACAGGGUGUCCUGCUGCAGGGCCUGCUCUCAUCCACUGCUGCUGCUGCGUGGAACUUUCCGUGGACGUACCUCGGGCUGUCUCCACUCCUCCACCGCGCGGCUGUGGCUGAGCUGCGCAGGAAAUGCGACAAACGCGUCAGGCUUUGCGCAGCUCGCAGGGAAAAUCCACGACUUUUAUUUUGUUAAAUUAAAAUACAUCCAUUUGAGCAAAGCUCCUGUACUUCUAAAAGUAUGCUUCAUUUUUAAAAUGGUGUACAGGGAAAAAGAAUCAGCCGAAAUGAAAGGUGCAGACAUAAUAAUGAACAUCCAUCUUCUCAAUAAACUGCCAACUCCACAAAAGAUGGGACCUCAGAGGAUGAAUGCAGGGAUAUGUGAGGCAUGAGAGGAAUGUCAAACAGAUGACUGCAAACCAUUGCAUCCUCAUGAUCAGACUCUGUGCUGCACGGUAUAUACACAAUCUGUGAUACCUGAAAGUGCAUUCCUGACAUUUUAUAUAUCUUUUACCAAUCCUUUUUUUAUGCCAAUAAAGAAAAAAAACACUUUA